rnacentral:piRNA from 1 species
UGGUUAAAGAGUAUCUGUAAAGAAUGGCCU